CAACCUAAACCUAUGCUGGCUCAACUUCAGACCAGUCCUCUUGUCCGGUCACUUGUUACCACGGAGAGGAGGCCAAGCCUCACUGGCUACAAGCUCUGUUCAGGGAGCAGUAGAGAGAAUAAGCAAUGUCUCUUUCAGUAUGUUGAACUUUUCUGCUAACAAGCCAGACAAGAAAGCAUUACACGUCUUUGAAGAAAUGUGGAAAGAAUAAAUCCUGCUCUGGACAAGCCAGCAAGGGACUUGCACGCCCCAGGACUCUGCACACGGCCUCUCAAGCAGGAAACCAAGGUCUGCAUCCACAAAGCAUGAUCUCAAGUCCUGGAAUUUUCUCUGCAGCCUCCAGCACAUAGGAAUAGACUGUCUCACUAGCAUUGCCCAGUUCAUUUGAUUUAAUGAAAUGUUUGAUUUAAGACUUUGAUUAUCCACGUGCCCCCAACCUACAAGACAGGCAGAGACAGAUUUUCUUCUUCCUGCUACCCCUCUGAAUUUAGUAAAUGUGAAUCGGUGGAUAGGACAGGCUUAGAUUGAGGAGCACAAUAGCUGGUGCUGCCCUGAGUGCAAACCUAAGGAAAAGGGGUGAUCUUCCCCUUACUUGAUUGUAGAAAUAGGAGUUCUGGGGGGUGCAUGCCUUCUGCAUGACUUCCUUGAAGAAUCAGGUUCAAACAGCAAAGUUGGUUGACUCUAAGGCCUACAGGUUAGCUUGUCUGGUAAACUGUUAUUUCCUUUUAGAGCUUGGGCUUUUGUUUCAGACUUAGGCUCCUAAAGCACAUUCAGUGGGAAUGCAAAGCUGCUCUUGAAUUCAGUCAGAGCACAUUCAGGCCUUGCAAUUUCAUGUGAGAAAUUGUGUUACCUGUCCAUGAAAUUUAUGUAGCAUAUUUAUUUGUGGCUUGGAUAAGGUGGGAUGGGAUAACCAAUACUUGUGUAUGCUGUUCAUGCAUGAGGACAGAAGUUGUUUUAUAUUUUCUUAUACAAAAGCUGCAUGUAGAAAAAGGCCUGUCAUUUUGUGUGGUGCCUUUAAAGCAUCUGAUCUGCAGGAUCCUGGCCUAUGACCAAAGCCUGAAGGCACCAAACUAAUAAUAUGUAAUAAUAAUAUAUGGCUCUGGCAUAAGCUAAACAUAAUUAAUGGAGACCCAAGACAACCUGAUCCAAGUUCAAUAUUACAGGCAAAUAAGCCUGGGAGGUUUCAGUUUGAGUUAGACACAACACUCCACUCUCCCUCCAUCCCAGGAAUGAGCUCUUAGGGAGAAAAUCACUUAAAAAUCCCAACGUUUUUGGAGACUUUUUUUCAUUCCAUGAAGAAAUCCAGAGUGUACUUGAUAAAAGUACUCACUUCAGUCUUAUAGGUUUAUCAAGAAAAUUGCUGAAAUGGGUCUUGCAGCUCUACAGGGAAAGAAUUCUUUUUCCAAAAGUCAUUAGCAUCCAGCACCUACUAGAAAUUUGACUGAGAGCUACUGAACAUUAUCAGUUUUGAAAAUCCAGUUACUGCAUAUCAAAAAUGUGAAUGCUGGAACAGUAAGCUUGGUCUUUUAAAAACUAUGGCCAAAGAAUCUGUGUGUGUGUGUCUCUAUAUAUAAAUAUAUAAUUUUUAAUGCAUUUUGAGUUAGAGCUAAACAGAAACAAAAAUUGCUGAGACAUAAAUAUCUCUAUAAUGUAAAUAUAUUUACCAUUUAAUCCUGAUAAAUACUGGAUUAUAGGCUUCUGAACAGAGACUGACAAUUAUUGAAAAUCAUGUGGUCAUCUCAAGUAUACAGUGCCUCAAUUAAAAUAAAACCACAAAAUCCUUUUCCUUUUUUGAAAGUACCAUCUAGCAUAUAAUUUAUUUGGUUGGACUCUACAAAUAU